UCUGGAAGAAAAGGGGCGGGGGCAAAUACGACAGGUUCAUGCCUGAAACCAGGUGAGAUUCAGUUCCAUUCGAUUAUUAAGCGAUCUG